GAUGAAAGAACGUAGCGAAAUGCGAUAAGUAGUGUGAAUUGCAGAAUUCAGUGAAUCAUCGAAUCUUUGAACGCACAUUGCGCCCCUUGGUAUUCCAUGGGGCAUGCCUGUUCGAGCGUCAUUUGUACCCUCAAGCUUUGCUUGGUGUUGGGUGUUUGUCCUCUCCUUUGCGUUUGGACUCGCCUUAAAGCAAUUGGCAGCCAGUGUUUUGGUAUUGAAGCGCAGCACAAUUUGCGAUUCUAACCGACUACACUUGCGUCCAUAAGCCUUUUUUAACUUUUGACCUCGGAUCAGGUAGGGAUACCCGCUGAACUUAAGCAUAUCAAUAAGCGGAGGA
rnacentral:misc_RNA from 1 species